AAGUCGUAACAAGGUUUCCGUAGGUGAACCUGCGGAAGGAUCAUUAUUGAAUGUACUUGCAAAAGGUUGAAGCUGACUCUUCGGAGUAUGUGCUCGCCUCUUGUACUUACUAUUUUUCCACUUGUGAACCUUUGUAGAUGCAUGAAUGAAAAUAAACUCAUCUGAAAAAUGGUGGUUAGAGAGAUUUGUUCUAAUAGGGCAUUCUCUUGUUAGUAGUAGUUCAUCAUCUAUGUUAUAUCUACCCCUUAAUUGAAUGUUAAUGAAUGUCAUUUUUACUGGUCUUUGACCUUUAAACUUAAUACAACUUUCAGCAACGGAUCUCUUGGCUCUC
rnacentral:misc_RNA from 1 species